GAUGAACGCUGGCGGCGUGCCUAAUACAUGCAAGUCGAGCGAACGGACGAGACGCUUGCUUCUCUGAUGUUAGCGGCGGACGGGUGAGUAACACGUGGAUAACCUACCUAUAAGACUGGGAUAACUUCGGGAAACCGGAGCUAAUACCGGAUAAUAUUAUGAACCGCAUGGUUCAUAAGUGAAAUACGGUCUUGCUGUCACUUAUAGAUGGAUCCGCGCUGCAUUAGCUAGUUGGUAAGGUAACGGCUUACCAAGGCAACGAUGCAUAGCCGACCUGAGAGGGUGAUCGGCCACACUGGAACUGAGACACGGUCCAGACUCCUACGGGAGGCAGCAGUAGGGAAUCUUCCGCAAUGGGCGAAAGCCUGACGGAGCAACGCCGAGUGAGUGAUGAAGGUCUUCGGAUCGUAAAACUCUGUUAUUAGGGAAGAACAUAUGUGUAAGUAACUGUGCACAUCUUGACGGUACCUAAUCAGAAAGCCACGGCUAACUACGUG
rnacentral:rRNA from 1 species